CGCAAGCCUGACUGCAGCGACGCCGCGUGAGUGAAGAAGGCCUUCGGGUCGUAAAGCUCUUUUCUGCGUGACGAGCAAGGACGGUAGCGCAGGAAUAGUCUCGGCUAACUACGUGCCAGCAGCCGCGGUAAAACGUAGGAGACAAACGUUAUCCGGAGUUACUGGGCGUAAAGGGCGUGCAGGCGGUCUGUUAAGUCUGGCGUGAAAGCUCUCGGCUAAACCGGGAGAGGUCGUUGGAUACUGACGGACUAGAGGACGGUAGAGGCGUGUGGAAUUCCGGGUGUAGUGGUGAAAUGCGUAGAGAUCCGGAGGAACACCAGUGGCGAAGGCGACACGCUGGGCCGUACCUGACGCUAAGACGCGACAGCAUGGGGAGCGAACGGGAUUAGAAACCCCGGUAGUCCAUGCCGUAAACGAUGCCAGCUAGGUGUUCAAGACGCGCAAGCGGCUGGGGUACCGAAGCCAACGCGAUAAGCUGGCCGCCUGGGGAGUACGGUCGCAAGGCUA
rnacentral:rRNA from 1 species